rnacentral:lncRNA from 1 species
CUGGAUUUAACAUUAAAUUUUAUAAAUAUUUGUACUAUCGAAAAAUCAGUAUCAAAUUUAAAAAAAAAUGAAAACCUAAAAGAGCUUUACCUUAUGGGUAACCCUUGUUCAAAUUGGGUAAAUCUAAAACAUUACGUUAUAUUUGAAUUGGAACAACUACAAGUAUUAGAUGGUUGUGAUAUUUUGGUGUCGGACAAGAUAAAGGCGAAGCAAGAAAUUGAUUAUGUGUUAAAAUCAUUAGAAGAAGAAAAAAAAAAAAAUAAUAAAGUAGAAUAUUCUGAUUCAAUUAAUGAAAGAAAAAAAAAUGUAUGAAGAAAUUGAGAAAAAAGAAAUGGAGAAAAGAAAUGAUAAUAACGAUUCUAAAAAAAAUGAAAAAAAAAAAUUAUCGAUAUAUACAAGUGACGGAAAUAUUCGACAGUGUAAUGAAGGCCACUACAAGUAUAUGUUCGACGAACAUUCAAGUCGGAAGUAUACUUUUUUUAAAAAUAUAUGUACCUAAAUAUUUGUGCAACUCUUUAAUAAAAAUUGAUAUAAAUAUUAAUUAUGUCAGAUGUAUAAUUAAGGAUAAAUUGUUUCAAAUAAAAUUAAACGAUUUAAUAUUAACAGAUUUGAGUAAAAUAAUGAGAAAAAAAUAUACUGGUGAAUUAGAAAUAAAACUUAGAAAAAAAAUUAUAGAAAAAAUAAAACUUUCGAAAAGACAUGUUCUAAUGAAGAAUGUUAUAGUGAGGUAUGGCCAACGAACAAAACAAAAAUGUAUUUAACAAUGCAAAAAAAAAGUUAUAUAAAUCGAUAUUAUCACCAACAAGUAAUUUAAGUUUUUUAUCUUCUUCUCACCCUUUUCAUCCUUCUUAUUUUUCUGAUUCUUCUGAUUCAUCGGACUCGUCAACUUCUUCAUCUUCUGUAUUCUUUAACAACCAAAAACUAAACUCUUCCUCUUAUAAAGAACAAAAAAAAAAGAAAAACUCAAGUAGUUGUAAUUUUACUAUACCUAAUAAAAGAGAAGAUGUAUACUUGAUGGAACA